rnacentral:tRNA from 1 species
GCCCCUGUGGCGGAACUGGUAGACGCGGCAGACUCAAAAUCUGUUAUCCAAAAGAUGUGGGAGUUCGACUCUCCCCGGGGGCACCA